GCCUCCGUAGCUCAGUGGAUAGAGCAAGAGCCUUCUAAUCUCUUGGUCGUAGGUUCGAUUCCUACCGGGGGCACCU
rnacentral:tRNA from 1 species